CUACGGAAGGCAGCAGUGGGGAAUUUUCCGCAAUGGGCGAAAGCCUGACGGAGCGACGCCGCGUGGAGGAUGAAGUUUUUAGGAAUGUAAACUCCUUUCGACAGGGACGAAAAAAAUGACGGUACCUGUGGAAGAAGCAUCGGCUAACUACGUGCCAGCAGCCGCGGUAAUACGUAGGAUGCAAGCGUUGUUCGGAAUUACUGGGCGUAAAGCGUAUGUAGGCGGUUGUAUAAGUCUUUUAUUAAAGACCGAAGCUUAACUUCGGGAGUGUAAAGGAAACUGUAUAACUAGAGGUCAGAAGGGGAAAUCGGAAUUCUUAGUGUAGCGGUGAAAUGCGUAGAUAUUAGGAAGAACACCGGUGGCGAAAGCGGAUUUCUGGUCUGAAACUGACGCUGAGAUACGAAGGUGUGGGGAGCAAACAGGAUUAGAUACCCCGGUAC
rnacentral:rRNA from 1 species